rnacentral:rRNA from 1 species
ACUAAAGAUGGCGACCGGCGCACGGGUGAGUAACACGUAUCCAACCUGCCGAUAACUCGGGGAUAGCCUUUCGAAAGAAAGAUUAAUAUCCGAUAGUAUAUUAAAACCGCAUGGUUUUACUAUUAAAGAAUUUCGGUUAUCGAUGGGGAUGCGUUCCAUUAGUUUGUUGGCGGGGUAACGGCCCACCAAGACUACGAUGGAUAGGGGUUCUGAGAGGAAGGUCCCCCACAUUGGAACUGAGACACGGUCCAAACUCCUACGGGAGGCAGCAGUGAGGAAUAUUGGUCAAUGGACGAGAGUCUGAACCAGCCAAGUAGCGUGAAGGAUGACUGCCCUAUGGGUUGUAAACUUCUUUUAUAUGGGAAUAAAGUAUUCCACGUGUGGGAUUUUGUAUGUACCAUAUGAAUAAGGAUCGGCUAACUCCGUGCCAGCAGCCGCGGUAAUACGGAGGAUCCGAGCGUUAUCCGGAUUUAUUGGGUUUAAAGGGAGCGUAGGUGGAUUGUUAAGUCAGUUGUGAAAGUUUGCGGCUCAACCGUAAAAUUGCAGUUGAAACUGGCAGUCUUGAGUACAGUAGAGGUGGGCGGAAUUCGUGGUGUAGCGGUGAAAUGCUUAGAUAUCACGAAGAACUCCGAUUGCGAAGGCAGCUCACUAGACUGCAACUGACACUGAUGCUCGAAAGUGUGGGUAUCAAACAGGAUUAGAUACCCUGGUAGUCCACACAGUAAACGAUGAAUACUCGCUGUUUGCGAUAUACAGUAAGCGGCCAAGCGAAAGCAUUAAGUAUUCCACCUGGGGAGUACGCCGGCAACGGUGAAACUCAAAGGAAUUGACGGGGGCCCGCACAAGCGGAGGAACAUGUGGUUUAAUUCGAUGAUACGCGAGGAACCUUACCCGGGCUUAAAUUGCAUUUGAUAAUCUGGGAAACCCAUACGCCGCAAGGCAUUUGUGAAGGUGCUGCAUGGUUGUCGUCAGCUCGUGCCGUGAGGUGUCGGCUUAAGUGCCAUAACGAGCGCAACCCUUAUCUUCAGUUACUAACAGGUCAUGCUGAGGACUCUGGAGAGACUGCCGUCGUAAGAUGUGAGGAAGGUGGGGAUGACGUCAAAUCAGCACGGCCCUUACGUCCGGGGCUACACACGUGUUACAAUGGGGGGUACAGAAGGCCGCUACCUGGUGACAGGAUGCCAAUCCCAAAAACCUCUCUCAGUUCGGAUCGAAGUCUGCAACCCGACUUCGUGAAGCUGGAUUCGCUAGUAAUCGCGCAUCAGCCAUGGCGCGGUGAAUACGUUCCCGGGCCUUGUACACACCGCCCGUCAAGCCAUGAAAGCCGGGGGUACCUGAAGUACGU